AAAAUUUUAGUUUAUUUAAAAUUAUUUAUUUACAAUAAAUAGAAUAAUAAUUUAAUAUUAUUAAAAUUUUA
rnacentral:tRNA from 2 species